AUUCCCUUGAAACAACCAAAAAGUUUUUGUCCUCUCCUUGACUUAUUGUCCUUGUCCCUCUGUAGUGUUUGGAACCUCUCCCUCUGCAGUUGCUGGAACUUGAGACCCCUCCACUGGAUCUGCCAUCUCUCCAUUUCCAUGAACUUCCAUCACAACCUCAGCUUGCUCCACUAGAUCUGCAGAACCUUCCUGUUGAAUAGAAAACUAUGGUCAGUAUAAAUCAAGAUUUGUGCUAAUUAAUUAAUUUCAUUAUGCAGAUCUGUACAAAACUUACUGGAGGGGUUGGAGCUGUUGUUGGUGCCUGGUUUCCAGCUUGCUCCUGUGCUGGUUCUUGAGGAUCUGUCACAUUACCCUGCUAUUGAACAGAGAAUUAUGAUUUUGACCGCUCCAAAAACAAGGAACUGUGGUCGUGUGGUGGAGGCCUAUAAUAUUGAGAAUGAGAAUAUCAAAACAAGCCACGUCCAUGUACAGUGUACACAAUGAAACACACUUGAUUCAUAAACCAUCUUAAGGACAUUCCACAUUUAUCUAAUUUUUUUCUCAAUUUUUCUCGAAAUAUUGUUGGCAAAGAAAUGUCCACUUGCCAAAUAGAUCUUUCUUUAUUGACAAGUGUCUCAUAAUCAACUUGUUCACACUUUCCUAGGUCAUGCCUGCUGGACCCCCUUAAAAUAUACAAUUUGAAUUAUUUUUUUCUAAA